GAUGAACGCUGGCGGCGUGCUUAACACAUGCAAGUCGAGCGAGAAGUUUUGAAAAGAUUCUUCGGAUGAAAUUUAAAGUGGAAAGCGGCGGACGGGUGAGUAACGCGUAGGCAACCUGCACCAUACAAAGGGAUAGCAUUUGGAAACGAAUAUUAAUACCUUAUGAAACUUAACUAGUGCAUGCUAGGUAGGUCAAAGAUUUAUCGGUAUGGGAUGGGCCUGCGUCUGAUUAGCUAGUUGCUGAGGUAACGGCUCACCAAGGCGACGAUCAGUAGCCGAACUGGCAGGAUGACCUGCCUCCUUGUAACUGAUACACCGUCCAAACUCCUACGGGAGUCAGCAGUGGCGUAUAUUGCACCAUCGGGGAGACCGUGAUUCAGCCACGCCGCUUGAACGAUGAUGACCUUUGGGUCGUAAAGUUCUGUUCUAGGUCGUGCAAACUGACAGUAACUUAUGAGAAAGCCCCGGCUAACUCCGUG
rnacentral:rRNA from 1 species